GUCCAUGUUGACACAAAAUAUGGAUCUAUAGCACAGUGGACUUUUCUGAGUUGCUUUUAGCAUUCUCGACAUUUGUUGGAGGUAGAAACUCUCAAGACUGGAAGCCAUAAACUCCUUUAUCUGCUUCAGGCAGGAUGUUUGGCCUUUUUCCCACUUCUGGACUUGGCAGUUUUGUAAUCCCUCGGGAACAGGGGAAGAAAGAAGGAAACCCUGGGCCCCACACCCUCCCCUGCAAACACCCAGCCUCCCUGCAGCCCACUUUGUCUUCGGGUUGUUUUCUCUGUCAAACAGUGCUGUGUUUUUCAAGGUCUCAGCUGCUAUCUUUGGGGGAUGCUGCCUCGUGGUCUGGACUAAACCAUUGGAGUGCUGGUUCCUCAUCUGCGGAGGGACCCCGGUGGCACCUGUCUCACCCACCACACAGCUGGACUGUGUUCCCCAGGGCACUGUGUCAGCAAAGCUGGUGUCUGACAAGGGAAGCGAACAGCUCCAGAGAGCCCCUCUCUCCACUCCAAGCUCAGAAGGCUGUUAAGGAGCUACGGCCAGGAGUCCCACCGAGACUGUGCGCCCCUAAGCCACCCUUCCUGGGAGGGUGACGAGCCAGGGGCAUGUGCUGUGCCCUAGAUCCUUCAGGACAGAGUCUCAGAUGUGAGCCCUGCAGGCUUAAAAAUAAACUGACGCAGUUUUUUUUUUGAAUGGUGAAUGCACUUGAAAGUCCAGGACAGAAUGAAGGAGUGGAUUGGGCAGUGUGAAAGGAGGGUGCGUAAGCUGUGGUCGCUGGGCUCCUCUCUUUCUCCUGGGUGAUCGGGCAACGCCCGC
rnacentral:lncRNA from 1 species